UCACAUGAUAAAAAAGAAAGAAAAGAAAAUGAAGAUAUUCUCUUAGUACAAGUGUGUACAUGCAUAAACUGAUUUUAACAAAAGAAAGAGGAAAUACUCAUGACAAUUACAGUCCUCAUUUCUACAAC